rnacentral:rRNA from 1 species
ACGAUGAAGAGUUUGAUCCUGGCUCAGGAUGAACGCUAGCGGCAGGCUUAACACAUGCAAGUCGAGGGGUAUAGUUCUUCGGAACUAGAGACCGGCGCACGGGUGCGUAACGCGUAUGCAAUCUACCUUUUACAGAGGGAUAGCCCAGAGAAAUUUGGAUUAAUACCUCAUAGUAUGCAGAG